AUAGUUGCGGGUAACGGCCACCAAGUCGACGAUCGGUAGCCGGACUGAGAGGUUGAACGGCCACAUUGGGACUGAGACACGGCCCAGACUCCUACGGGAGGCAGCAGUGAGGGAUAUUGGUCAAUGGGGGAAACCCUGAACCAGCAACGCCGCGUGAGGGAUGACGGUCUUCGGAUUGUAAACCUCUGUCCUCUGUGAAGAUAAUGACGGUAGCAGAGGAGGAAGCUCCGGCUAACUAC
rnacentral:rRNA from 1 species